rnacentral:siRNA from 1 species
UAAAAAAUAAUUGCUGAGAAUGCC